rnacentral:rRNA from 1 species
UACGUAGGGGGCGAGCGUUGUCCGGAAUUACUGGGUGUAAAGGGAGCGUAGGCGGGAAGGCAAGUUGAAUGUUUAAACUAUCGGCUCAACCGGUAGUCGCGUUCAAAACUGCUUUUCUUGAGUGAAGUAGAGGUAGGCGGAAUUCCUAGUGUAGCGGUGAAAUGCGUAGAUAUUAGGAGGAACACCAGUGGCGAAGGCGGCCUACUGGGCUUUAACUGACGCUGAGGCUCGAAAGCGUGGGUAGCAAACAGG